rnacentral:lncRNA from 1 species
CGUGAAUUGUGAUUGUGAUCUGAUUCUGGUUGGUGCUCCAGUUAGUAUGCAUUGUAUAUAUAGAUUGCAGCUACACACGGUGCGAUUGCUAUGCCAAUGUGGUUAUAGUUGGUUUUGUCUGAUUGAGAUAUGUGACGACUUGGAGCCUGGUAGGCCUAUCCUGACAUAAAUAUGUUCUCGCAUAACAUGUGUGAUUAUCCUAAACUGAAGGGGAUUUUAUUUGCGGACAAUUUUCUUAUGAUGUUGUAACGAGUGAAGUAUACAUUGGUCCUUCGCAAGUGUUUACUGGUGGUCAGGAUUUGGCAGAUGCAAUUCUCCUCUGGGUGCUUGUAUUUUUCUUCUUUUUUUAAUGCAGCAUAACAUAUGCUACCAGCAGCCCUUGCUCGUCUUCAAAAGGCUGAUGCUCAGUACCUCGUUUCAUUUCGUACCCCCUUUACAGUCUGGCAUUGUUUGUCUGGUAAACUUUGUUGAUGUCAAGAUAAGUGUUAAAUUGCCAACACUGUUCUUUGUCCUGUGUGUAUUAGUAUUAGGCCUACAUAUCCCGAGCCAAUACCCUGGUGUUUCCAACGCGAAAUCGAACAGCUGUUGCUCCGUUCCAAAUCAGCUGUUCUCUGCCAUCUCAGCCCUUACGGGAGCUUUUCAAUUCAUCCUGGAACGUGCAUCUUUUCAGGGAAUUUGUACAAUAAAUCCAUAACAAAUACCGAAUAUUGAUUGUCUUAUAAUGUGUCCAUAUUAUAUCCAUUAUAUUGACCGGGUAUUCCCAAGACGCUCACGCUCUGCAGCAAGCCAGUCACAGUUGAUUGGCGCGUCGCUGUACAGCGAACAUAAACAAACAACUAAGCUAAGGUUUUAAGUGUUACUUUUCCUCCAGAGAUCCCGCUAAAGUUGUGUUAUAAAGUAAAGGGAAACAAGAUAUCUAUUCUUCCUCCACCUCUCUCGCUUCUCUGCUUGGUGUCGCUGACGCUUAUAGUUUGCCUCCCUCGCUCUGGUAAAGUCACGUACGUGAAAAAAAUAAAUAACGAAGCUCCGAAUACUGAUUUAAGCUUCAAAUACUAAUUUUCCGAACCAGUAUUCGAAUAAUUUCAACACCUGACAAUACACUGUACAGCAUAUUGUAAUGCAGCGUUGAAUGGAUGAAUAGCUUACAUAAGGGUACCCAGCACUUUUCAGACCACACUCAAGCUUAUGGUUAUUGUCCCCACCACUUCUAAAAACAAACUGACCCCCUUGGGCGCGUUGCUUUAUCGGCUUGGCCAUGU